UACGUAGGUGGCAAGCGUUGUCCGGAUUUAUUGGGUUUAAAGGGUGCGUAGGUGGGUUUGUAAGUCAGCGGUGAAAUCUCCGGGCUUAACUCGGAAACUGCCAUUGAUACUAUAGAUCUUGAAUUUUCUGGAGGUAAGCGGAAUAUGUCAUGUAGCGGUGAAAUGCUUAGAUAUGACAUAGAACACCAAUUGCGAAGGCAGCUUGCUACAGGAAUAUUGACACUGAGGCACGAAAGCGUGGGGAUCAAACAGG
rnacentral:rRNA from 1 species